GCUGGAAAAGAAAACGGAGUCAGUGGCCGUGCAGUCAGCCGUGUCGCCUUCCAACACUGACUAUGCUCCUGUUGUAGACCAGAGGACAAGAGAGCAAACAAGAUGCCCUUGAAAACAAACCCGCAGGCUCAUGUGGGAAGCGCGGUCAGCUCGCCCUGUGUUCAAUUACGGCACAAGAAUAAAAAUGUCUACUGACAAAAUGCUUUGUGAACUGAAGCCCCCUCAAGACAUUCACUUUAGCUUCUAAGAAGGCAUACUGAAAACAAGACAUUUACACAAAAUCUUUUAAAGAUUGGUGUCUUAUUGUAAUGUUAGUGCACCCAUGAUUCCUCUCACUGAAACCCGAGUAUAGGUGGUAACAGAAGACAGUAUUGAAAACCACAGGCUUAGUCUGUCAUCGUGAGCCAUGCUGUGCCGAUGUCACUUUCUGGCUUUGGCAAGUGCAGUGGAAGAAGCCGUGUGAAAGGAUCCACCUCUUUGCGAUGGUUCAACAGUCUAUAGAAACAAAGGCCUUUAAAGCCGGCAAGCUUGAUUACGGACACAGUGGAGACUUGUUAGAGCUAUCUGUUAUGCUUUCUUUUUAAAAAAAAGAUUUUUUUUUUGUUUUGUUUUCAUUUUUCUAGACUGGGGUUUCUCUGUGUAGCCCUAGCUAUUCUGGAACUUGCUCUGUAGAUCAGGGCGGCCUUUGAUGCAGAGAUCUGCCUGUCUCUGCCUCCCAGUGCAGAUUCAAGGCACGCACUGACACCAGGCUAGGAAGAUCUGUUUUUAUUUGAGUGUUGUGCAUGACUGCGUGUAUCACGUGCAUGCAGUACCCGAAGAGGCCAGCAGAGGGUGGCAUAUCGCCUGGAACUGGAGCUACAGAUAGUUGUGAGGCGGCAGGUGGGUGUUGGGAAAUGAACCCAGGUCCUCUGGAAGCACUGAGCCAUCCUUCCAACACAAAUUUAGCCAUGGUGAAACUCUACAUAAUACCAUGUAUAUAUAGAUUUACAGUCCUUCCUCAUUGCUUAAGGCUAAGCAUCUUGUCACAAAGACACCCAGUCAUUUGUUCUGGGUGCGCAUGUUUCCACUGUGCUGGUGUGUGUGCAUGUUUACCGUUAUGGAGGCCAGGGAACAACCGUGGCUGCUGCUCCACUUCUGUUUGAGGAACUGACCCCAACGGCCUGGGGCUUGCCAAAUAAACAGGCAUCGAGUUCUCCGCCUCCCUAGCUCUCUACACUCUGCUUCUGCAGGAGGGGUUGGGGUUUUAUUUUUUUUAUUUUUUUUGGUUCUUUUUUUCGGAGCUGGGGACCGAACCCAGGGCCUUGCGCUUCCUAGGCAAGCGCUCUACCACUGAGCUAAAUCCCCAGCCCCGGGGUUGGGGUUUUGAAAUCAGCCCUCACCCUUACACAGCAGGCAGUUUCCUAGCUGCGUUAACCCUCCAGCCUCUACACUUUACACUUUACACGUGUGAAUGUGUGUUCAUGUACACAGUGUGGGCGUCAGAGAAGACUCCUGGAGGUCAAGUUUUACCUACUGCAUUGUUGAAACAGCGUCUGUGUUUGCUGAUGUGCACGCUAGGCCUCCUUGGCCUGCAGCGCUCACAGGUUCUUUCUGUCUUCACUUUCUUCUCCUCAGGACACUGGGAUUGCAGACGUGUGCUCCCACACUGGGCUAGUACACAGCGUCUUGGGAUUUGAACUUACGUCCUCAUGUCUCUACUGCAAGUGUUCUAUCCACUACACCAUCUCUCACCUCAUAAUUUAGCUGUGGAUGGGCAUUUAUGAUGUCAUCAGUUUUCCAGCUUUGCUAUUACAUGUAUUAUAUAUAAAAUAGUAUGUUUUGCUAUUUACUCGGCAAUAUUCUCACCCAACUCUGUGUGUCUUGCAAGCAACUAACUGCAGGGUUGCAGUGCAGCCUGGUGUGGAUCUGGUACCACUGUCUUACCACAGCACAGAAGAAUAUGCCUUCCUUCAUAGGAUUCACCUUGGAAGCUCCCUGGACAUGGCUGGUGUACUUCAAAGUGAGAAAUAACUUUAUUAUGUAUAUAAUCAAUGACCUAGAUAUCAACCAAAAGAAAACUGAUCAGUUGGACUUCCACACAGCCUGCAUUUCUGCAUCCUGGAUGGCUGAGAAUGACCUGUUGGUGAGAUCUGCUCCAUUAAUUGUUUGUCUGUAUUUACUUUGGGUGGAGGUCAGAGCAUCAUGACUUGCAGGAGUUGUUCUCUUCCCCGAUGUGCAUUCUGGGGGCUGAACUUUGGUCGUCAGGCUUAGCAGUAAGCACUCUUCCUCACUCUUGAGCCACUUUGCCGGCUUUUAAAAAUGGUCUAGCCUUAACAGCAAAGUCAAAAUCCAAAGGGAUGUAAGAUCUAAAAUUUACCAGGUAAAAAAACUACAGCACACAAACCAAAAUUAGAGGCGCAGGGGGAGUCAGACAGUGCCUUCUACUACAGACAAGAUGGCCGCUGACACUGUCUUGGCAGGCUGGGUGUCAGCUGGGGUGCUGAAUACAAGAAGGGUCAGGCCACCAGGCUACCACGGACAGUGUACUUAGUUCUUAAUGUCGUUAUGAUUUAUACUUCAAGGAACAGUGGGGAGAAGUCAAGGGAAUGUUCCUUUCAUUUUAAACAGCAAACAGGACUUCAGGCUUACAGGGACAACUAAGGAGAACACAGAGCUUCCCUCCUGUCCCUCAUGGUCCUGUCUACGGCCCUUGACUUUGCCACAUAGCAAUAGUUGUGGCGUUAUAUACUGCCCUCUUUCCUAUUCUGGAAACCCACAGCUACUUCACCAACAGGGCUUCUGUGCAUGUUUGUCACCCUACCGCAGUUUUUUUAUUCAUUUGGGAAAUACUGAUUGAGGCCAGACACACAGCAGAGACCCAGCAAGGAUCUCACUGGCUCCCUCAAGCUCCUGGAGCCUGCGUUCCUGCCCCACUGUCUCUCCUCCAGCUAUGAUUCUCUUCAGAAGUCAACUCAAGCGUCUGUUCCUCACAGCCACACAAACUCUGUCACUGUAGUUGUUACUGGUUUACGUAGGGCUAGGGACCAGCUCAGGGAAACAGUGCUUGCCCCGUGUGCUUGAGGAUCUGGAUUCAACCCUCACGUAUUACAAUUAUUUAUUCACACAACAAAUACACAGAGCACUGAGUAUGUUAUAGUGGGAGAAUAAAACAGCUCCUUAAAAUGAUCACAUUUUAUUUAUUAUAUGCUAUCUGUGUGCACAAGCUGAUGAGCCAUCCUGCCAGCCCACAAAAUAAUAAACAAGGACAGGGUGUGGUGGUGCACUCUGGGAAUUCUAGCAGUUGGGAGGUGGAAGCAGCGAGGACCAGGGUUUAAGGCCAGCCUGGGUUACUUGAGACCCUGUCUCAAAAGCAAGCAAGCAAGCAAGCAAGCAAGCAAGCAAGCAAGCAAGCAAGCAAGCAAGCAAGCACAUAAACAACGAGGCUGCCUCAACUGUGAGGCUGCUGCGGUCCUCCUGAGGAGUCUUCCACCUGCUCACCGAGCACUUUCACUUUCUUAACUGCCUUUGGUUCCCAGAACAGGAUUUAUGUCCAUGGACCUAAUUUAUGGUCUCCCGCAAAGAUGGGAACCCUUUAAUGAAGAAUUUUGAGUCCUCAGGAUUUUGUGUAGUGGCUGGCUGGCAUAAAGUAGGUGCUCAGUAAACACUUAACGAAGGAAUUACUGAGAAAGGGAGACGGAACACUGUUUGUUCAAUACACAUGAGUUCUGCAGGAAGUUAGACUUAAAGGACAAAUGCCCGGUGAUGACCUCGAGCAGGUAGGGUAAGGGGUGGGAAUGCGGGUUCCUGACAGGGCGGCAUCGCUGAUGAGGCAACAACUGAUAAUCAAGGAAUGCAGGAAGAGGUGCAGGUGUGUGCCGGGCCUUCGACUGCAUGAAGCUCCUUCCUCUGCAACCACAGCUGCAAUUCUAAAUUGAUUCUGAAACGAUUCUGAUUUCCUCCCCCAAAGGUCGGCUUCUGACACCCAUGCCCCAGCUUAAACACUCAGUAACAAAGAAGGGAUACUGCCUGGGGCUGGGGUAGCAACAGCAGAGUGUCUGCUACUACCCACUAACCAGUUACCUAGGUAAUUUAUUUAAUUCAGCUCUUCCUUUUACAAGCGAGGAAGACUGCUAGGUGGUGGUGGUGGUGGAGGAGGCAGAGGCAGGUAAAUUUGAGGGUCAGCCUGGUCUACAGAGUGAGUUCCAGGACAGUCAGAAAUACACAGAGACCAGUCUCAAAAAACAACAACAAAAUGGAGAGAGAGAGAGAGAGAGAGAGAGAGAGAGAGAGAGAGAGAGAGAGAGAGACUGUAUCCUACUAUGAAGGUUGAGGCAAGUUGAGUGUGGGUUUCAGGGUAUCCUGGACUACAUAAUGCUCAAAAAAGCAAAUGCACAAGUUAAUAAUAAAAGUUAACGGGGUUGGGGAUUUAGCUCAGUGGUAGAGCGCUUGCCUAGCAAGCCCAAGGCCCUGGGUUCAGUUCCCAGGUCCGAAAAAAAGAAAAAAAAAAGUUAACUUAAAAGACUUUUUUAAAAAAAAUCAAGGGCUGGAGAGAUGGCUCAGCUGUUAAGAGCACUGACUGCUCUUCCAGAGGUUCUGAGUCCAACUCCCAGCAACCACAUGGUGGCUCACAACCAUCUGUAAUGAGAUCCGAUGCCCUCUUCUGAUGUCUGAAGACAGUUACAGUGUACUCCCAUACAUAAAAUAUAUAAAUAAUUUUAAAAAAUAAAAUAAAAAAAUCAAGAAACUUAAAGAUAAGGUUCUGGCACUGAAACACAUUUAAAACUCAAGCUUUUAUUACAGCUACUAUAUCAAUAUCCUAAGAAAAGUAUUAUGUUUUAAGUGUUUACUUCAUUAUGAAUGUGUGUGUCUGUACGUGUGUCGAUGAGUGUCUACUGAGCUGCAGUUACAGGCUUUUGUGAGCUGCUGGGUAGGGAUGCUCGGAUCUGAGCUCUGUUCUGUUAACUGCUGAGCCAUCUCUCCAGUCCAUAAAAUUACCAAUGCGUUUAUUUAUACAAGGUCCAAUUCCUUUCAAGUACUGACAUACAAAAAAAAAGCAAGCCCCGUGGAAGUGUCUAGGGAAAUCAAGAUACCCUAGGGUCAUAUUUCCAUGCAUUCAAUACUCAGUACUUAGAAGAUGUUCGAAAACAUCUGCAUGUGACAUCUCAUCUCUUAAGUCAUCACAGAUAAAAGCUGACACAAGUAAUAUGCUGCUCCAAAGUGCUCCCCAAACCAGUAAUGUCUCUUCAGUCUAUGACAUGGGCAGCUAGGUGGCCUAUUUUAUAUAAACGGUGUCUUUUUUUUUUUUUUCUUUUUUUCUUUUUUUCGGAGCUGGGGACCGAACCCAGGGCCUUGCGCUUGCUAGGCAAGCGCUCUACCACUGAGCUAAAUCCCCAACCCCUAUAAACGGUGUCUUAAGUGACACACCAGGAAGGUAAGAAUUCAUACAGCAAUUGACUGAUGCACCAUUCGGAAAAUCAAAUGGAGAGGAGUGUGGUUUCUACUCCCAAAGCCUCCAGGCCGGGGAAGGAACAGCCCAAUUACCUAGCAAAAAUCUCUCAAGAUGACUGUUCUGGAACUACAAAGACAGAGGUGAAGGGGUCAAGCUCC